rnacentral:rRNA from 1 species
CCUGCUCAAUGAAACUAAAUAGCCGCUAUUAUAGUGCUAAGGUAGCAUAAUCACUUGUCUUUUAAUUUAAGAAUAGAAUGAAAGGAAAAACGAGUAAAUAACUUUAUUCAAUUUACUUAAUUAAAUUAAUAUAAAAGUAAAAAAGCUUUUAAAUAAAGAAAAGACGACAAGACCCUUUAGAACUUCACUAAAAGUUAAACUGGGACGGUUCAUUAUAAAAUCUAAAAUAAACACAAAAAUAAAUCAUAACAAGUUACCUAAGGGAUAACAGCAUAAUAUUAAUUUAAAGAUCUUAUAUAAAUUAAUGAUUAUGACCUCGAUGUUGAAUUACCAUACUAUUUUAAGAAAAAUUUAAAUAAGUAAGUCUGUUCGACUUUUAAAUAAGUACAU